CAGGGAUUUAAUUUUAACAGUAACUUCUGGGAAUAUUCUUGAGAUAGUAUAUAUUUAGCUUAAUUUCCUCAUCUGGCCUUUCUGCUUGUGGUUUCUUCUUCUCUCCAACCCUUCUUGCACUGGGCCAAUCAGAUCAUUCUUCAGUCCAGUACUUACAGUGGCUGUUACAUCAGGUGCACUUUCUUCCUCCUGGCAGGAAUAUCCCAGAAGGCUUUACCAAGAAUGUGGGACUGUGCUGUGGCUUUAAGGAUUUGGCCAGAAGGAGGUCAGAGGAGGACAGAGCAAACUAGAGCAAUAUUCUGCUAGACAAUGGGCAAGCCAGACUAAUUAUCCAGACUGCAGCCAAAAUGAGACUGCACCCAGAAUAUGGCUUCGUUUUAAC
rnacentral:lncRNA from 1 species